rnacentral:rRNA from 1 species
UACGUAGGGUGCGAGCGUUAAUCGGAAUUACUGGGCGUAAAGCGUGCGCAGGCGGUUCGUUGUGUCCGAUGUGAAAGCCCCGAGCUCAACUUGGGAAUGGCAUUGGAAACUGGCGAGCUGGAGUGUGGCAGAGGGGGGUGGAAUUCCACGUGUAGCAGUGAAAUGCGUAGAGAUGUGGAGGAACACCGAUGGCGAAGGCAGCCCCCUGGGCCAACACUGACGCUCAGGCACGAAAGCGUGGGGAGCAAACAGG